rnacentral:rRNA from 1 species
CAAGGAAUUUUGCACAAUCGACGCAAGUCGGAUGCAGCAACGCCGCGUGGGGGAAGAAGGCCUUCGGGUCGUAAACCCCUUUUGCGAGGGAAGAAGAUCUGACGGUACCUCGCGAAUAAGUCACGGCUAACUACGUGCCAGCAGCCGCGGUAAUACGUAGGUGGCGAACGUUGUCCGGAUUCACUGGGCGUAAAGCGCGCGCAGGCGGGCUGAUCAGUCUGGGGUGAAAUCUCCCGGCUCAACCGGGAGGGGCCCUCGGAUACUGUCAGCCUUGAGGUGCCUAGAGGAGAGUGGAAUUCCCGGUGUAGUGGUGGAAUGCGUAGAUAUCGGGAGGAACACCAGUGGCGAAGGCGACUCUCUGGGGGUGACCUGACGCUGAGGCGCGAAAGCGUGGGGAGCGAACCGGAUUAGAUACCCCCGUAGUCC